rnacentral:rRNA from 1 species
UACGGGGGGGGCAAGCGUUGUUCGGAAUUACUGGGCGUAAAGGGCUCGUAGGCGGCCAACUAAGUCAGACGUGAAAUCCCUCGGCUUAACCGGGGAACUGCGUCUGAUACUGGAUGGCUCGAGUGUGGGAGAGGGAUGCGGAAUUCCAGGUGUAGCGGUGAAAUGCGUAGAUAUCGGGAGGAACACCGAUGGCGAAGGCAGACCCCUGGGUCGACACUGACGCUCAUGCACGAAAGCGUGGGGAGCAAACAGG